UUUUCUUCAAGUUUAAAAAACUAAAAUUGGAACGAUACAGAGAAGAUUAGCAUGGCCCCUGCACAAGGAUGACACGCAAAAUCGUGAAGCGUUCCACAUUUUG